GAUGAACGCUGGCGGCGUGCCUAAUACAUGCAAGUCGAGCGAACGGACGAGAAGCUUGCUUCUCUGAUGUUAGUGGCGGACGGGUGAGUAACACGUGGAUAACCUACCUAUAAGACUGGGAUAACUUCGGGAAACCGGAGCUAAUACCGGAUAAUAUUUUGAACCGCAUGGUUCAAAAGUGAAAGACGGUCUUGCUGUCACUUAUAGAUGGAUCCGCGCUGCAUUAGCUAGUUGGUAAGGUAACGGCUUACCAAGGCAACGAUGCAUAGCCGACCUGAGAGGGGUGUCGGCCACCCGGGAACUGAGAAACGGUCCAAACUCCUAGGGGAGGCAGCAGGAGGGAAUUUUCCGCAAUGGGCGAAAGCCUGACGGAGAAACGCCGGGGGGGUGAUGAAGGUUUUGGGAUCGUAAAACUCUGUUAUUAGGGAAGAACAUAUGUGUAAGUAACUGUGCACAUUUUGACGGUACCUAAUCAAAAAGCCGCGGCUAACUACGU
rnacentral:rRNA from 1 species